rnacentral:rRNA from 1 species
ACCUGCGGAAGGAUCAUUGUCGAAACCUGCAAGGCAGAACGACCCGCGAACAAGUGAAAAACUAUCGCGUGCGGCAGGCCUCGGUGCCGGUCGCCGGAAGUCUGGGGAGAUGGCUGUGGGCAACUAUGGCUCCUCUUCCGCGGGCGCAAACAACGAACCCCGGCGCGAAUUGCGUCAAGGAAACGAAAGAGGACGUGCGCUCCCCUCGUCCCGGAAACGGUAUCGCGAGGGGUCCGCGUCGUCGUGAURUCAUAAUAGAUGAGACGACUCUCGGCAACGGAUAUCUCGGCUCUCGCAUCGAUGAAGAACGUAGCGAAAUGCGAUACUUGGUGUGAAUUGCAGAAUCCCGUGAACCAUCGAGUUUUUGAACGCAAGUUGCGCCCGAAGCCGUCAGGCCGAGGGCACGCCUGCCUGGGUGUCACGCAACGUCGCCAAGAAUCAACUCUCCCCCUUUCGCGGGGAACAUCGAGUGAUGGCGGAUAUUGGCCUCCCGUGCGCUCCCGGUCUCGGUUGGCCCAAAAAACAGUCCCCUGGCGGCGGCAGCCACGGCACACGGUGGAUGGCAGCACAGGCUCCUCGAGCACCGCCGUGGGCGAGCCUCGUCGACGGGUAGCCAAAGGCCCCGACGCAAGCGUCCUCAAGAAGCGACCCCAGGUCAGGCGGGAACACCCGCUGAGUUUAA